AUUGAACGCUGGCGGCAGGCCUAACACAUGCAAGUCGAGCGGGGUUUUCGGACCUAGCGGCGGACGGGUGAGUAAUGCGUAGGAAGCUACCCGAUAGAGGGGGAUACCAGUUGGAAACGACUGUUAAUACCCGCAUAAUGUCUACGGACCAAAGUGUGGGACCUUCGGGCCACAUGCUAUCGGAUGCGCCUACGUGGGAUUAGCUAGUUGGUGAGGUAAUGGCUUACCAAGGCGACGAUCCCUAGCUGGUUUGAGAGGAUGAUCAGCCACACUGGAACUGAGACACGGUCCAGACUCCUACGGGAGGCAGCAGU
rnacentral:rRNA from 1 species